rnacentral:rRNA from 1 species
AUUGAACGCUGGCGGCAUGCCUUACACAUGCAAGUCGAACGGCAGCACGGGGGCAACCCUGGUGGCGAGUGGCGAACGGGCGAGUAACGCAUCGGAAUGUACCCAGUAGUGGGGGAUAACUAGUCGAAAGCUUAGCUAAUAUCGCAUACGCACUGAGGUGGAAAGCGGGGGAUCGCAAGACCUCGCGCCAUUGGAGCAGCCGAUGUCCGAUUAGGUAGUUGGUGGGGUAAAGGCCUACCAAGCCUGCGAUCGGUAAAUGGGCUGAGAGGACGACCUGUCACACUGGGACGGAGACACGGCCCAGACUCGUACGGGAGGCAGCAGUGGGGAAUUUUGGACAAUGGGCGCAAGCCUGAUCCAGCAAGGCCGCGUGUGUGAAGAAGGCCUUCGGGUUGUAAAGCACUUUUGGCGGGAGCGAAACGGCGUUUGCUAAUACCAGACGCUAAUGACGGUACCCGCAGAAUAAGCACCGGCUAACUACGUGCCAGCAGCCGCCGUAA